UAAGUUCAACUCCAAUUAUCUUGUGAUUCAACCGUAGACCAAUUAUCCUGUGAUUCAACCGUAGAAAAUCCAAAUUGAUUCCGUAGUUGUGUUCACCGUCUCGAGGGCUUCGAGAAGCACCCCUUAUUUGUGCCAACAGGACUUCGAAAUCAAAAGGGUCAUUUUAUGGUAAGGAUGUAAAUUAUGUUGGUGUUAUUUAUAUGGAUAUGUAUAUAUAUAUGCAUGUGAGCAUAAGAAGCAUGUUAUUUGAUUGAUGUUGAAAGAUGAUUGGAAAUGAUGUUGGAUUAUUCUUGUGCAUAAUUGGAUUAUGUUGAAUUGUGAAGGGAUUUGGUGUGAUGAUGUGUGGGAUUAAAAUGAUGAUUAUAUAUAUAUACACAUAAACCUAUUGUUCAGGUUGGUUUUUGGAAUACUUUGCAAAUAUUGGUUGUAUGGAUUUAUGGAAGAGAAUUGUGGUGUUGGGUUGCUAAUACUAGAUGCCAAACAUUUCAUUGUAGAUAAGUGAUUUGUAAAGGCGGAAAGUUGUGUUGAAUUGGUAUCCGAAUCUACAACGAGGUAUGUAAAGCAUACUCUAACAAUGUUCUUUGGCAUGAAAACACCAAUGUUCCAUCAAGUAAGAUUCCGAGG
rnacentral:lncRNA from 1 species